GUGUUUGGUGGCUGUGCGCAGGGCGCUUUCGGGCGCGCCGGUCUCCCUAAUUCCUGCCGGCCUACUAACCUGCGCGCAGCUGCCGCCUUU
rnacentral:antisense_RNA from 1 species